AAUAGUUCUUAUUCUACAGAUGUACUUACUGCAUAAAACAGAAAGGUUGGCUCACACUUCCCUCGGUAUUUUUCAAGGACAUCAAGACAAUCUGCCUCUGCCUAAAGAAGACAAACUGUCAGCAGGCACCCACUGGACCUGGGCACAGGGCCCUGAGAACUCCAUACCCCCAUGACCAACCUCCCCAGCUACUCCACCAGUCCAAGGAAACUCCACCAUCUGGUGUCCUUCUGCGGCCAUGACUGGCAACAGCAGACAUGAAAAAUCCUCAGAAAUUGCCUUUGAUGUCUGACGAACCCACUGUAUGUAGACACCACAGAUCCCCCAGAUUUUUCAGGCUACAUUCAGGGUCAAACCUGGCACAGAGUGACCCUCAAUGAUUAUCUGAAUUGGACUGAAACCAUCUGUUCCAAAAGAAGAGCCAUGAAGGUUACUGUGGGUGACCAGUCAGCAUAUAAUUGACU